GUCGCCUCCUAAAAGGUAACGGAGGCGCUCAAAGGUUCCCUCAGAAUGGUUGGAAAUCAUUCAUAGAGUGUAAAGGCAUAAGGGAGCUUGACUGCGAGACCUACAAGUCGAGCAGGGUCGAAAGACGGACUUAGUGAUCCGGUGGUUCCGCAUGGAAGGGCCAUCGCUCAACGGAUAAAAGCUACCCCGGGGAUAACAGGCUUAUCUCCCCCAAGAGUUCACAUCGACGGGGAGGUUUGGCACCUCGAUGUCGGCUCAUCGCAUCCUGGGGCUGUAGUCGGUCCCAAGGGUUGGGCUGUUCGCCCAUUAAAGCGGUACGCGAGCUGGGUUCAGAACGUCGUGAGACAGUUCGGUCCCUAUCCGUCGUGGGCGUAGGAAAUUUGAGAGGAGCUGUCCUUAGUACGAGAGGACCGGGAUGGACAUACCUCUGGUGUACCAGUUGUCGUGCCAACGGCAUAGCUGGGUAGCUAUGUGUGGACGGGAUAAGUGCUGAAAGCAUCUAAGCAUGAAGCCCCCCUCAAGAUGAGAUUUCCCAACUUCG
rnacentral:rRNA from 1 species